AUUGAACGCUGGCGGCAUGCCUUACACAUGCAAGUCGAACGGCAGCACGGGGGCAACCCUGGUGGCGAGUGGCGAACGGGUGAGUAAUACAUCGGAACGUGUCCUGUAGCGGGGGAUAACCUCUCGAAAGAGAGGCUAAUACCGCAUACGACCUGUGGGUGAAAGAGGGGGAUCGCAAGACCUCUCACUAUAGGAGCGGCCGAUGUCGGAUUAGCUAGUUGGUGGGGAAAAGCCCACCAAGGCUACGAUCCGUAGCUGGUCUGAGAGGACGACCAGCCACACUGGAACUGAGACACGGUCCAGACUCCUACGGGAGGCAGCAGUGGGGAAUUUUGGACAAUGGGCGCAAGCCUGAUCCAGCCAUGCCGCGUGGGU
rnacentral:rRNA from 1 species